rnacentral:lncRNA from 12 species
AUGGACAUGCUAUUGGAUUUGGCUGUACUCAUCCUAUUGUAUCUUUGGCAUUCUUCUAUGAUGUUGCUGUUGCUGUGGAGUAGUUUUCUUCUGCCUUUUUGUUUCCUUCACUCAUAUCAUAAAUAUUGUUAUCCAGUAUUCCUUACUUGGUCCUUUUUUCAUGCAAAAAUAAAUCAUGAAGAUACAAAAAGAACCAAAUCACGUGUGCCCAAUAGCAGACACUGCUAACUGAUUUUGGCAAUUUUCUCUCAUCCCCGAUACUAUCCAAGAAAUCUCAGAAAUGCUGCAGGAAAUCACCAAAUGAUCAGAGUUCACCUAUGAGAAGAAAAGUUUUUCCUACACCUGUUUUACAUAUGCAUCUCAGUAGAGCUCAUCUGUAGUCAUGACUUUAAUUCUAAAAAUCCUGGGGCUUAGUCAUUAGAGGCUCCGGCACCUUGCCCAGUGCCUGGAGAGCAUGGUUUGGGUUGGAUACAUAUUUGAAGAACAAAUGAUAAAAUGUUUGAUUAGUUAACAAUGUCUAACUAUAUUCUGACAUAUCUUGGGUGCUUGAAUGCAAUUAAAAUUGAAAAUGCAGUGACCAGAGAGAAUGUAAAAAAUAGUGACAGUAUUAUAAUGAUGUAUGUGCAUGUUGAGAAAUUUUAUUCCUUUUUUUAAUAUUUUAUUUUUUUAUUUGACACACACACACACACACACACACACACACACACAACACAAGCAGGGAGCAGCAGGCAGAGGGAGAAGGAGAAGUAGGCUCCACACUGAGCAUAGAGCCCAGCUUGGGGCUCCAUCCCAGGACCCUGGGAUCAUGACCUGAGCUGAAGGCAGACGCUUAUACGACUGAACCACCCAGGCGCCCUGAGAAAUUUUAUUUCUGAACAAAAAUUACUUUCUAUAUGAGACGUUAUAAUUAUUUUCAAAUAAGUUAACUUAAGAUCUAUUCAGUAAUAAGAAACACCCAGGGGAACUGUGAAAGCUUGAAUUGGGGGUUUAAAGAGAUAGUAGUAGGCUAGUUCAGUGGGUAUUUUCCUCAAAGUUGUAAAUUUCAAUCCAACUCCAGUGAGAAUAAAAUGUGCUUUCUUUUUAUUUCUAACCA